UGUUUUGAAUCCAAUAAAAUAAAUUUCUAAAAAAAAAAAAUAAAUAAGAAAUAUUCAGUGCAGUGAAAUAACAAAUUACCGUGAAAAUAAUUUAACUCACCGUGAGUGGUUUGCUGAGAAAAGGAAAUUUGCAAUGCCUUAAGGUGUUUUCAAGCAGACGUAUUAACAGGGCUUAAAUCAUUUUAAGCUGCUAUAGACGGCAGCAGUGCGCCAGCGCAACGCAGUACCAGCUCGUGCCGCAACUACCCUACAUACAUAUGUGAGCAAGCGUGUGCGCUGCACGGAUAGGGAAGGACGGUUGAAAAUCGUUAAACAUACACAUCAAAUGAAUUUUAAAUGUUAAAACAAUCACUUUUAAUCUAAAAUAAAGUGCAAAGGAUAAAAGUUUGCAUGCGAGUGUAUAUGUCUGUGUGUGUCAAUAUAAAGCGUAUAACGAUAAAGUGAAAUGAAAGUGAAAAAUAAUAUAAUAUAAAUAUAUGCGACCACUUGUACAUACAACAGUGCUUGGCAGUAAAUGAUAAAUAAAAGCGGGAAUUAUAAAAAAAAAAACAAAAAAAAAA